CUACGGGGGGCUGCAGUGGGGAAUAUUGCACAAUGGGCGCAAGCCUGAUGCAGCCAUGCCGCGUGUAUGAAGAAGGCCUUCGGGUUGUAAAAUACUUUCAGCGGGGAGGAAGGGAGUAAAGUUAAUACCUUUGCUCAUUGACGUUACCCGCAGAAGAAGCACCGGCUAACUCCGUGCCAGCAGCCGCGGUAAUACGGGAGGGUGCAAGCGUUAAUCGGAAUUACUGGGCGUAAAGCGCACGCAGGCGGUUUGUUAAGUCAGAUGUGAAAGCCCCGGGCUCAACCUGGGAACUGCAUCUGAUACUGGCAAGCUUGAGUCUCGUAGAGGGGGGUAGAAUUCCAGGUGUAGCGGUGAAAUGCGUAGAGAUCUGGAGGAAUACCGGUGGCGAAGGCGGCCCCCUGGACGAAGACUGACGCUCAGGUGCGAAAGCGUGGGGAGCAAACAGGAUUAGAUACCCCAGUAGUC
rnacentral:rRNA from 1 species